CCUGUUGCACAAAAGUAGAAUUAAGACAUCCGGGAUAAAUGACUCAGCUGAGCUCAAUGAAGCCAAAACAUGUGCGUCCAGGCUUAAUUGGUUGCACAAAGACCAAGCCAGGAUGAGCAGACACGGAUUCAUUAAGCCAGGUGAAACCAAUCCUGGAUAGGUGCGCGCUCACGGCUCACUCAAAUAGACCCCGCCACAGAUCACAGAUUAACUGAUUUACCAUGGCAACUAGAGCCGCGUACUUUUCCCCGUCGGAAGCACAAAUCCUCAUGGAGGCAUACGAGGAGGUAAAAUAUAUAAUUAAGAAGAAAGGCAACACCGCCACAGUGAUAAAGCAAAGAGAAAAAGCGUGGCAAAGUAUUGCAGACCGCCUGAAUGCGUAAGUAGUGCACAAUUACACAGUCACCGCUCCGCUGAAACAUCACAAUUACAAUUCAAAUAUUUAAUUCACAUCUCCAAAAAUGCAGUUGUACUGUAAUUAUGAAACGGUUCAAUUUUUAAUUGAAAUGCACUGCAGAUAUGAGUGAAAUUGUGUAAAGUAACUCCAUCACACUGUAUAAAGCUAUGAUACAUUUUUUGAUAUUUUUACUGAAAACAAGACAAAAAUACCGAGUAAUUUUUUGCAGUGUGACUCCAUUAAAUGUGUGUGUGUGUGUGUGUGUGUGUGUGUGUGUGUGUGUGUAGAUUAAACAUAAACGGACAUGGCAGCAGGUCAAAAUCAAAUACAAGAACAUUCUGCAGAAUGCAGUGAAAAAGAAUACCCACAGACAAGGCACGGGUGGUGGGUCACCAAAGGCUGACCUUACCCCAGCAGAGGACAUGGCCUUGGAGCUAAAUAAAGGCAGGCCCGUCUUAGAGGGGAUCCCUGGGGGGAAAGAGACGAGCAUAGGUUCCUCCCAAGAUGCCACCCGCUUCAUUCAAGUGUCUGGCAGCACUGUGUUCCUGUUAGAGCCACCAGCACAAGCACCAGACGAUGCUGAUCCAGUGAGUACUCCAUCAAAGGCAUACUGUAGGCCUGGCAUGUCUUGUCUACUAGCUUCAAUAUGAAUCCGAUUAAAUGUGAUAGGGUGAAGGCCCCAGUGCAGCAGCAACAGCACAUGAUGGAGACGAUGAUGAGGAGGAGACCAUCUCUCUGGAUUCCAGAAGGCAUGAGGUAUCAUGUUAAGACUGUGAAAGUACUAUUUACUCUACAAUGGUGAGGAGGAGUCAUCAAAAUCAAAAAAUCUAAUUUCUUUUACAGGACCCAGAUGCUAUACAGUGGGAAAACCAGCCUGGCAACAUAGUGCGUAUUAAUAAAAGGACACCACAUCCUGCCAAAUUCCAGCUGCACUAAUUGUAUUGUGUUCACAGAGCUCACAAGCUAUCAGAAAGUUGUAUGGCAACCACCUCCGGCGCCAAAUAGAACUGGCAGACAUAGACAUUCAGUACAAGAAGAAAAAGAUGGAAAAUCUUGCACUGGAGUCCGAAAUAAAAAAGAGGACAAUUAGGAAACUGGACCUUGAAAUAAAAAAACUUGAGAGGGAGGUGAGAUAUGCCUUCAAUGUACACUGUAUGCUAACUGUAACACAAAUGUAUUAAUCAUUAUUUUUCUUUCCUCCCCCAGCUCCAAGAAGAUGACACAGCUCAAAAUAAA